AAAUAUUUUAUUAUCAUUUGAAUGGUUUUCUUUUGCUAAGUUCAGUUUUGUCUGUGUGUAGAUGUCUGCGUCCUUAGGUUCUGGAGUAGCAAGCUGCUUUUCUGGUCUGGUGUGAAUGGACACUAUUUUAGAGUUUGACUUGCUAAGAAAUAGAUAACAUGUCCCAAAAGUUUAUGUUUUUCGCUGGAUUAAGUCUUGGAUUGAGCGUGUCAGUAAUCUAUCAAAUAUACUACGGUAUACAAGGGCUUAGCGGUCUCCAGGUUACAGCACUACUGCCCAAUGUGGUGAAGUUUAGUUUUCUAGAAAAUACGUCGUCGCCACUAGGAGCAACAGAAAUAGUCACGCAGGCAAACCGAGUUAUAAAAACAACCACACCCUCAAUGCUUUUAUUACAAGGAGAUGAUACAAUCGCUCAAAGUCUGUAUACUAAAGUCAAAGUGGCUUGUUGGAUCCUAACUUCACCUUCUAAUCUUGACAGG
rnacentral:sRNA from 1 species